UUAGCAUCAGGAGAACGGUCUGGAAAGGCCGGCAGUAAAGGGUGAUAGCCCCGUAUCCGAAGGUGUUGGUGUUGUGAACUCGACGAGUAGGGCGGGACACGUGUUAUCCUGUCUGAAUAUGGGGGGACCAUCCUCCAAGGCUAAAUACUCCUGAUUGACCGAUAGUGAACCAGUACCGUGAGGGAAAGGCGAAAAGAACCCCGGCGAGGGGAGUGAAAUAGAACCUGAAACCGUGUACGUACAAGCAGUGGGAGCCUUGAUUUAUCAGGGUGACUGCGUACCUUUUGUAUAAUGGGUCAGCGACUUAUAUUCUGUAGCAAGGUUAACCGUAUAGGGGAGCCGUAGGGAAACCGAGUCUUAACUGGGCGAAUGAGUUGCAGGGUAUAGACCCGAAACCCGGUGAUCUAGCCAUGGGCAGGUUGAAGGUUGGGUAACACUAACUGGAGGACCGAACCGACUAAUGUUGAAAAAUUAGCGGAUGACUUGUGGCUGGGGGUGAAAGGCCAAUCAAACCGGGAGAUAGCUGGUUCUCCCCGAAAGCUAUUUAGGUAGCGCCUCGUGAACUCAUCUUCGGGGGUAGAGCACUGUUUCGACUAGGGGGUCAUCCCGACUUACCAACUCGAUGCAAACUACGAAUACCGAAGAAUGUUAUCACGGGAGACACACGGCGGGUGCUAACGUUCGUCGUGAAGAGGGAAACAACCCAGACCGCCAGCUAAGGUCCCAAAGUCAUAGUUAAGUGGGAAACGAAGUGGGAAGGCUCAGACAGCCAGGAUGUUGGCUUAGAAGCAGCCAUCAUUUAAAGAAAGCGUAAUAGCUCACUGGUCGAGUCGGCCUGCGCGGAAGAUGUAACGGGGCUAAACUAUGCACCGAAGCUGCGGCAGCGAUAUGUAAAUAUUGUUGGGUAGGGGAGCGUUCUGUAAGCCUGUGAAGGUGUACUGUGAGGUAUGCUGGAGGUAUCAGAAGUGCGAAUGCUGACAUAAGUAACGAUAAUGCGGGUGAAAAACCCGCACGCCGGAAGACCAAGGGUUCCUGUCCAACGUUAAUCGGGGCAGGGUGAGUCGACCCCUAAGGCGAGGCAGAAAUGCGUAGUCGAUGGGAAACGGGUUAAUAUUCCCGUACUGGUGAUAAUUGCGAUGGGGGGACGGAGAAGGCUAGGCUAUCCGGGCGACGGUUGUCCCGGUUUAAGGAUGUAGGCAGGUGAAUUAGGCAAAUCCGGUUCACUACAUGCUGAGGUCCGACGACGAGUCACUACGGUGAUGAAGUAGCUCAUGCCCCGCUUCCAGGAAAAGCCUCUAAGCUCUAGAUUAUCAUUAAUCGUACCCCAAACCGACACAGGUGGUCAGGUAGAGAAUACUCAGGCGCUUGAGAGAACUCGGGUGAAGGAACUAGGCAAAAUGGUGCCGUAACUUCGGGAGAAGGCACGCUGGCGCUAGGUGAAGUCCCUCGCGGAUGGAGCUGAAGCCAGUCGCAGAUACCAGCUGGCUGCAACUGUUUAUUAAAAACACAGCACUGUGCAAACACGAAAGUGGACGUAUACGGUGUGACGCCUGCCCGGUGCUGGAAGGUUAAUUGAUGGGGUUAUCCGUAAGGAGAAGCUCUUGAUCGAAGCCCCAGUAAACGGCGGCCGUAACUAUAACGGUCCUAAGGUAGCGAAAUUCCUUGUCGGGUAAGUUCCGACCUGCACGAAUGGCGUAAUGAUGGCCAGGCUGUCUCCACCCGAGACUCAGUGAAAUUGAACUCGCUGUGAAGAUGCAGUGUACCCGCGGCAAGACGGAAAGACCCCGUGAACCUUUACUAUAGCUUGACACUGAACAUUGAGCCUUGAUG
rnacentral:rRNA from 1 species